CUAAGAGGGACACCUAAACGUGUUAACCUGUGUGCUCACUUGUUCAUUUGUUGUUCAAAGGAGGUUAAAUUUU